GAUGAACGCUGGCGGCGUGCCUAAUACAUGCAAGUCGAGCGAACAGACGAGGAGCUUGCUCCUCUGACGUUAGCGGCGGACGAGUGAGUAACACGUGGAUAACCUACCUAUAAGACUGGGAUAACUUCGGGAAACCGGAGCUAAUACCGGAUAAUAUAUUGAACCGCAUGGUCCAAUAGUGAAAGACGGUUUUGCUGUCACUUAUAGAUGGAUCCGCGCCGCAUUAGCUAGUUGGUAAGGUAACGGCUUACCAAGGCAACGAUGCGUAGCCGACCUGAGAGGGUGAUCGGCCACACUGGAACUGAGACACGGUCCAGACUCCUACGGGAGGCAGCAGUAGGGAAUCUUCCGCAAUGGGCGAAAGCCUGACGGAGCAACGCCGCGUGAGUGAUGAAGGUCUUCGGAUCGUAAAACUCUGUUAUUAGGGAAGAACAAAUGUGUAAGUAACUAUGCACGUCUUGACGGUACCUAAUCAGAAAGCCACGGCUAACUACGUG
rnacentral:rRNA from 1 species